rnacentral:lncRNA from 1 species
UCUUUCACAAAAUUAUCAACCAAUACAAUAUUAUCAACUAAUCAGAAUUUCAUUAUUAGACCAUGGUAUUUGAUUCACCAAAUACAUCAUUAUUUUAUACUCUUUCAUAUGUAUGGCGCAACCCAAUCCUUGUUUUUCAGGUUUCUAAUCCUUAACUUUUUUGAAUCAAAAUAUCUAAAUAAUAAGAAAUCUCCUCUUGACAGUAAUAUAUGUUGUAUAUGUAAAUCCUAGAUGUGAAAACAUGCGGAACUCGUCUAUGAAUAAAAAAAAAAAAAAAUUAUAAAAUAAUAAGAAUAGCUAGGUGUAAACCGAUAUGCUAAUAUGCUCUAAUAUGCUAAAAUAAGAAAUUAAAGGCCUAUGGGAUAGAAAUAAUGAAUCGUAA